rnacentral:lncRNA from 1 species
ACUCAUACACAUCCCAAUUACUUAUCUAAUAGUAAAUCAAAAUUUUAUCAAUUUUUCUUGACAGUUUAUCAAUUCGUCACUUAUAUGUUCAGAUCUGUCAAAAUAUACUACUAAAAGCGUGUUUUGUAGUGUAUUUGCAAAACCGCAUCUUUUAUGGGGUGAUUGAGAAAAUAUCUUUUUCUGUAAUGGAAGCCAAUUUUU